AAGGAGCUUUGCGGCAAGCCGGUUGCAGAUGAAGCACAGUGUAGUUCUGAUAUUGAGUUUGACACUAUUUUUCUGAGCAUUAGGGGCAACUUCAGUAGCUGUUUUGUAUUUUUCUUUAGCCCCCUUUUGUGGCAAGGGGCAGAAACACAUGUUUUCCCCACUUUCUAGAACUACAGCCUGGUCGAUGGAUGCAGGAGGAUAAAAGGCAUUUGGCUGGAGUUGUCCUGCUAAACAGACAUCACACCUGUGAGUUUCAGGGAUUAAGGAAAGAGCAGCCCUACAUCGCUGCAGAUGGAGUGACUUUGUUGCUGCUGUUAUGAAGGAACCUGAGAAACAGCUUCAAUACGCCUGAAGAAGAAAUUUGCUUCCUUUGGUGAUUGUAUGAUGCCCCGAACAACAAUUGAGUGAGAUGGGGGAGGAGAGCAGGCCUGUCUGAUCCCAGCGAAGUACUCUUCACUUGCCUUGGGUCGGUCCUGAUCCAGAACCAGCCGGAAAGGUGGUAGCACAACAGCAAUUGAAUUCUCUACGGCUACCAAGAGGAGAGCGUUGGACAUUGUACAGGGAAAGGCUUUCCAGAUCCAAAGGCUUUAUUUUGUUUAUGCCAAGACCAUAAAACCCGGGUGAAAAUGUUGGGUUAGAGAAACAUUGGCUUUAUGGAAGCCAGGAUAAUAUAGUAAGGUAGCAAGGAAGCACCACAGAUAAGGUAUGGGAAAGUACCAGGAUGUUGCGAAUCAUUUCUUUGAGACCGACUUUAUGCAGGAAAGCAAAGAACUCAUCCUUGACUUGAAGCUCAUGGAGGUCACCUGAAUGGCAUUUUUCCAUCAUCCACAAUGGGCAUAACGGUAGAG